UACGAAGGGUGCAAGCGUUACUCGGAAUUACUGGGCGUAAAGCGUGCGUAGGUGGUUUGUUAAGUCUGUUGUGAAAGCCCCGGGCUCAACCUGGGAAUGGCAAUGGAUACUGGCAGGCUAGAGUGCGGUAGAGGGUAGUGGAAUUCCCGGUGUAGCGGUGAAAUGCGUAGAGAUCGGGAGGAACACCAGUGGCGAAGGCGGCUACCUGGACCAGCUCUGACACUGAGGCACGAAAGCGUGGGGAGCAAACAGG
rnacentral:rRNA from 1 species